CCCGGAACCAGGCGCCCGCCGGAGGGACCAACCAAACUCUUUCUGUAGUCCCCUCGCGGACGUUAUUUCUUACAGCUCUGAGCAAAAAUUCAAAAUGAAUCAAAACUUUCAACAACGGAUCUCUUGGUUCUGGCAUCGAUGAAGAACGCAGCGAAAUGCGAUAAGUAAUGUGAAUUGCAGAAUUCAGUGAAUCAUCGAAUCUUUGAACGCACAUUGCGCCCGCCAGUAUUCUGGCGGGCAUGCCUGUCCGAGCGUCAUUUCAACCCUCGAACCCCUCCGGGGGUCCGGCGUUGGGGAUCGGGAACCCCUAAGACGGGAUCCCGGCCCCGAAAUACAGUGGCGGUCUCGCCGCAGCCUCUCAUGCGCAGUAGUUUGCACAACUCGCACCGGGAGCGCGGCGCGUCCACGUCCGUAAAACACCCAACUUCUGAAAUGUUGACCUCGGAUCAGGUAGGAAUACCCGCUGAACUUAAGCAUAUCAAUAAGCGGAG
rnacentral:rRNA from 1 species